rnacentral:rRNA from 1 species
CGCAUCUGUGCAUGCAGCAUAUCAAUAAGCGGAGGAAAAGAAACUAACAAGGAUUCCCUUAGUAACGGCGAGUGAAGCGGGAAGAGCUCAAAUUUGAAAUCUUCAAGGUUUUACCUUGACGAAUUGUAGUUUAAAGAAGUGUUUUCUGUUGAAGUUUUGGUAAAAGUUCUUUGGAAUAGGACAUCAUAGAGGGUGAGAAUCCCGUAUUUGACCAUUAUUUUCAGCUGUGUGAUACACUUUCAAAGAGUCGGAUUGUUUGGGAAUGCAGUCCAAAAUGGGUGGUAAAUUUCAUCUAAAGCUAAAUAUUGGCGAGAGACCGAUAGCGAACAGGUACCGUGAGGGAAAGAUGAAAAGAACUUUGAAAAGAGAGUUAAACAGUACGUGAAAUUGUCAAAAGGGAAGCGUUUGACACCAGUGUUGUUUUCUCGAAAAUCAAUUAAAAAGAGUUAGAUUUUGUUGUGUAUUGACCUUAACAGCUUGCAUUUCAAUUUUCUUGCUUUUUUUAAUGCACUUUUCGUUUAACAAGUCAACAUCAGUUUCUUUUGUUGUAAAAAGGUCAUUGGAAGGUGGCUUUCUUUUCGGAGAAAGUGUUUAUAGCCUUUGACUCCUGCAAUCGGAGAGACUGAGGUCUGCAGCGUAGAUCCUUCGGGGUUAGAUACAUUUGUGCUAAGUUAUAGCUUUUAUAGACAACUUGUUGACUAUGAUUAGUCUUGUAGCUUACUCGCUUAUGCUAUUUUACCUACGCUUAGGAUGUUGACACACGCGCGUGCUCG